AGAGUUUGAUCAUGGCUCAGGAUGAAUGCUGGCGGUGUGACUAAGGCAUGCAAGUCGAGCGAAUCGAUCGUUGUAGCAAUACAGUGGUCGGUUAGCGGCAAACGGGUGAGUAACACAUUGGUAACCUGCCUCCGAGACGGGCACAACAUUGCGAAAGCGAUGCUAAUUCCCGAUGGCCUCUUCGGUGAAAAUCCGAAAGAGUAAACGCCCAAAAGGCGCUCGGAGAGGGGCCUAUGGCCUAUCAGCUUGUUGGUGAGGUAAUGGCUCACCAAGGCGACGACGGGUAGCAGGCGUGAGAGCGCGACCUGCCUCAGUGGGACUGCGACACUGCCCACACUCCUACGGGAGGCUGCAGUCACGAAUAUUCCACAAUGGGGGAAACCCUGAUGGAGCGACACCGCGUGGGGGAAGAAGGCCUUCGGGUCGUAAACCCCUUUUGCACGGGACGAAGUAAUUGACGGUACCGGAGAAUAAGAG
rnacentral:rRNA from 1 species